rnacentral:ncRNA from 2 species
AUGUUCCUUCGGGGCGGGGUGAAAGUCCCCACCGGCGGUAGAGCCCGCGAGUCCUCCUCAAGGAUUGAACUGGUGAAACUCCAGUGCCGACAGUAAAAGUCUGGAUGGGAGAAGGAAAAA